GAGUAUUGAUUUCUUGACCAUUCGGAUAUAUUUAUUUAUAUAUAUUUAUGCAUAUAUUUCCCUUGUCUGUUCUUUUCAUUAUUGAGUGGUUGAUCUGAGUUUCUAGCAUUUCAUUCUUAUAGUUUCCAACAGUCAGAAGUUGUGUUUGAACUGUAUAUUUCUGUGAGACCAGGGUAUAGGAACAGUUUUUGCUGUCACGUUACAAGGCCUAAGUAGCGUUUAAUCUGCCCGGGCCUGCGUUGUGUCGGGAGAUGAAGGGUCCCACCAGCCAUGCUGAGUCAACAGAACAGAUUUAUGGGAUUCAGCACUUGAGUUGUGCACCUUUGGCUUUACGUAAUUGUGCAGUUCAGGUGUAGCUUCCAGAAGACCUGUACAAGAUUUCCUGUGAAGCAGGGCAGCUCCCAUCUGUGCUCCUGCUUUUAUUGAUUCAGUGAUCAGAAUAGAAGACAUUGUCUUUAAGAAAAUGCAGAGUCAGGUUUGGAAUCAAUAUCAUUCUGGAGUUUCUAGUCACUAGUUUGUUGUGAUAGUAUUACAGUGGUGUAGCUGGGCUUGAAACAAACAAAUGUAUGUACAGUACUGAUUUUGAUUCACUAACAAAUGUAUGUACAGUACUGAUUGUGAUUCACAAACAAAUAUAUGUACAGUACUGAUUGUGAUUCACUAUAAGAUUUCAAAUAUAUGCAUGUAUGUGGUUUUUGUAGCUUAGAUGCAUUCAAAUUUUAUUUUUUUAAAGACCUUUGAUAUUUAAGUCAUAGUGUUUUCUUGUAUCAGAAAAGUCUUUGUUUAGAAUACAAUUCCUCUGUUGGCUUUCUAAAAAUGAGGUUGGAUAUGAUACUUAAACCUCUCUGUCACAAGCUCUGUCCCAUGGAAGCCCUAACAAUGCUGUGCUCUCAUUGACUUAAGUCCUCGGCUGUUGAAGCACGUUUAAUGACGUUUGGGUCAAUAUUGACUAGGUGAUUUUCCUAGCGUAAUAUACCUAGCGCUCAAACAUUCUACCUGAUCCAAAGAGUAAACGAGGCCAGCUUACCCCCACAACCAUUGUUGGGGAAUUUCAUUUUAAAGAGAGGAUGAGUAGAAGUUACCAGUGAGAUAGGGCUGACCUGUGAUUUCUUAUCCGAUCUCAGUCGUGAGGAUGCUUUGUCUCGGUGGAGGACGUUAUUGUGUGCUCAGAAAUAGAGGUAACUCAGUUCAGGUUUAGUUUUUCACGUCAGGCGAACAAUAAUUUUUUUCUGAUUUAAAUGUUAACUUAUUCAGGGAUAAAAUCAGGAGGAUUAAAUAUCUCUAAGUUUUUUUUGGUGUGGGAUUUUUUUCUUUAACUUUUGUGCAUUUGCAUUGCUGUUAAGCUUCCUGAAUGCCACCCAAUGAAAUUGUUGAAUUUUCACGAAAAAAGAAUAAAUUCUG
rnacentral:misc_RNA from 1 species